rnacentral:rRNA from 1 species
AUUGAACGCUGGCGGCAUGCCUAACACAUGCAAGUCGAACGAGUGGCGGACGGGUGAGUAAUGUCUGGGACACUGCCUGAUGGAGGGGGAUAACCACUGGAAACGGUAGAUAAAACCGCAAUCCAUCGGAUGUGCCCAGAUGGGAUGAGCUAGUGGGUGGGGGAAAGGCUCACCUAGGUGACGAUCCCUAGCUGGGCUGAGAGGAUGACCAGCCACAGUGGGACUGAGACACGGCCCAGACUCCUACGGGAGGCAGCAGUGGGGAAUAUGGCGCAAUGGGCGCAAGCCUGAUGGAGCAAUGCCGCGUGACUGAAGAAGGCCUUCGGGUCGUAAAGUACUGUCGGCAGAGAAGCGUUACCCGAAGAAAAAGCAACGGCUAACUCCGUGCCAGCCGCCGCGGUAAUAC